AUGCACGCUGGCGGCGUGCCUCAUCCCUGCCAGUCGAGCGAACGGACGAGAAGCUUGCUUCUCUGAUGUUAGCGGCGGACGGGUGAGUAACACGUGGAUAACCUACCUAUAAGACUGGGAUAACUUCGGGAAACCGUAGCUAAUACCGGAUGAUAUUUUGAACCGCAUGGUUCAAAAGUGAAAGACGGUCUUGCUGUCACUUAUAGAUGGAUCCGCGCUGCAUUAGCUAGUUGGUAAGGUAACGGCUUACCAAGGCAACGAUGCAUAGCCGACCUGAGAGGGUGAUCGGCCACACUGGAACUGAGACACGGUCCAGACUCCUACGGGAGGCAGCAGUAGGGAAUCUUCCGCAAUGGGCGAAAGCCUGACGGAGCAACGCCGCGUGAGUGAUGAAGGUCUUCGGAUCGUAAAACUCUGUUAUUAGGGAAGAACAUAUGUGUAAGUAACUGUGCACAUCUUGACGGUACCUAAUCAGAAAGCCACGGCUAACUACGUG
rnacentral:rRNA from 1 species